rnacentral:rRNA from 1 species
GAAGUCGUAACAAGGUUUCCGUAGGUGAACCUGCGGAAGGAUCAUUCGC